CCUACGGGUGGCAGCAGUGGGGAAUAUUGGACAAUGGGCGAAAGCCUGAUCCAGCCAUGCCGCGUGUGUGAAGAAGGCCUUCGGGUUGUAAAGCACUUUCAGUGGGGAAGAAAGCCUUGGGGCUAAUACCCUCGAGGAAGGACAUCACCCACAGAAGAAGCACCGGCUAACUCCGUGCCAGCAGCCGCGGUAAUACGGAGGGUGCGAGCGUUAAUCGGAAUUACUGGGCGUAAAGCGCGCGUAGGCGGUCUGAUAAGCCGGUUGUGAAAGCCCCGGGCUCAACCUGGGAACGGCAGCCGGAACUGUCAGGCUAGAGUGCAGGAGAGGAAGGUAGAAUUCCCGGUGUAGCGGUGAAAUGCGUAGAGAUCGGGAGGAAUACCAGUGGCGAAGGCGGCCUUCUGGACUGACACUGACGCUGAGGUGCGAAAGCGUGGGUAGCAAACAGGAUUAGAUACCCUAGUAGUC
rnacentral:rRNA from 1 species